rnacentral:rRNA from 1 species
AGCUCCAAUAGCGUAUAUUCAAGUUGUUGCAGUUAAAAAGCUCGUAGUUGAAUUUUGGGCCUGGCGGGAUGGUUUAGUCGCAAGAUUAACACUGUGCUGUUGGGCCUUUCCUUCUGGGGAAUUAACGUGCUCUUUACUGAGUGCGUUAAGAAUCCAGGACUGUUACUUUGAAAAAAUUAGAGUGUUCAAAACAGGCGUAUGCUUGAAUAGAUUAGCAUGGAAUAACGGAAUAGGACUUUGUUUCUAUUUUGUUGGUCUUAGAAAUGAAGUAAUGAUUAAUAGGGAUAGUUGGGGGCAUUAGUAUUCCAUAGUCAGAGGUGAAAUUCUUGGAUUUAUGAAAGACUAACUUCUGCGAAAGCAUUUGCCAAGGAUGUUUUCA